AGAACGAACGCUGGCGGCAGGCUUAACACAUGCAAGUCGAACGGUUGUAGCAAUACAGCAGUGGCAGACGGGUGAGUAACACGUGGGAACCUUCCUAGGGGUACGGAACAACUCAGGGAAACUUGAGCUAAUACCGUAUACGUCCGUGAGGAGAAAGUUUUAACGCCCCUAGACGGGCCCGCGUAGGAUUAGGUAGUUGGUGAGGUAACGGCUCACCAAGCCUACGAUCCUUAGCUGAUCUGAGAGGAUGAUCAGCCACACUGGGACUGAGACACGGCCCAGACUCCUACGGGAGGCAGCAGUGGGGAAUCUUGGACAAUGGGCGCAAGCCUGAUCCAGCCAUGCCGCGUGAGUGAAGAAGGCCUUCGGGUGUAAAGCUCUUUUACCAGGACGAUAAUGACGGUACCUGGAGAAUAAGCCCCGGCAAACUUCGUGCCAGGCAGCCGC
rnacentral:rRNA from 1 species